AAAUCAAAAACUAGAACAAAGAGCAGCCAAAAUGAAACCAGAACAAAGAGAAAGCUUUUGGAAUGUCGGGGUAGGAAUGCGGAUCUGAGUCGCUUGGUGGAGUAGUUACGACAGGCGCAGCAUUUCACCCAGACAAGGGAGAAGGAGAAGAAAUGGAGGCGUGACAACGAGUAGUGGCAGGCACGAGCACUGGCAAGAAGGAGGAAGGCGAGACCACUGGCAGCACAACACAGGGGGCGGCGUGACGAUCCAAGAAGUGGCAGUAGUGAACCCGCAGAAGAAGAAGCUACACAGAGGAAGAAGAAGUUGUGGGCGACACGAAUGAGACAUGUGUAGGUUAAGCUGAGAAAAUAAAGUUGAGCUAGUACAUUGGUUAUAGACUAACCCGAGGUAAUAUCUUAAUAUGGCACCGGUUAAAAGCAGAACUCGAUGCCUUAGGUCUGGUGUAGCAAGCAAAGUGCAGGCAACGUAGCAGGUGUAGCAGGUGGAGCAGAGGUAUAGGCAUCGGUUGCCCAGCUACCCGAUGCAAUAAGCCAACGUAUAGGGACCGG
rnacentral:lncRNA from 1 species